CUAGUUAUUUUGUGCUAUGUAAUGAUUGCUACAAAGUAAAUAUUUCGCAAUCGCGUAUAGGCAUAUGUAUGUCCAUAUAAGGAACGAAAUAUGACACGUGUCAGCGCUUGUAUGCAAAUUUUUUGAGCGCGUCGUUUGAAAACUCUUUUGAUCGUAUAUUCAUCGAGAUGUUUAUGCUGCUGUGUUAAAAAGACGUUUUGAGCGUAUUUACUCGACUAUUUUGGUACUUCUAAAUAUCCUAAACAACAACGGGCUCCCAUAAGGAAAUUUCAAGGCAAUUGGUUGUGGUAUUAUCUCAGAAAUAUCUUGAGAAGCCAAAUGACGUAUUCUACUUUACUGCGAUCUCUUCAGCAAGUUGUGGUCAAAGAAAAUAUCAUUGCAAUAAUAGGUAAAGGCAGAAUUUGGCAGUAAAAUGUGCAAGAACUAUUAGUCCAUGGUAUGGUUGGCAAAUUUCAAUCUAUCAAGAGUUGUCAAGAAUGCCAAAUACUGUGCCAAGAAGUUUGUAUUGGUUCUUUCGAACCAGAUAGAAACAACAAACAAGAUUGGCCGCACAGAGA